UGGUCUCUGAGGAAACAUUCCUUCUCUACCACACAAGUGGUAAAUAAAAUCUACAAAUAAAUUCUAUUUCCCCAAAUGUAUAGGAUACAAAAAAAUGUAUUCAUUAGUGUGAGAUAUAAAAAUGUAGACUCACACUUCUGAAAUCUACGGCUGUUCCUUUCACACUUGUGCCAAAGGCAAACAAACAUAAUUCUCCCUGGCAGCUGGACGACAUUCCAAACAGCCACCACAUUAAUUCACUCACCUCCAUCAGCCUCCGCCUGCAACCUGCACAGCUUGCUGCCAGGAAGCCUGGCAAUAAAUUCCAACUCUAAAUACCAAACAAGGUAGAAAAUACCAUACAAUGCAUUAUUCCAAAGGACAAAAAUGGGCUUGCAUGAUAGGGAUACUGAGCAAGGAGCUCUUCCACUGCCUUUUGGAGAUCUCCUCAUUGCCCUUAUGGAGAUUGGCAGCUGCCACAGAAAAUGUAGUUUUGCACUGACAAUUGAAUUCUGGAUUUCUUACUUGAAAUUUGAGUCAUUUUUUUUUUAUAACAAUAAAUAGCUACAUGCUUGAUUAAAACUAACAUUUGUAUGUUGAUGAUGUGCAAACUAAUGUUAACACCUGAUGUGAUAAUGAGGGAUCAAGCCUGGAAUUGCUGUGUAUUCAAGUGCUUCUGGAGAAGGGUGUUGUGGACACUGCUGCAGCUCUGCAACAUCUCUUAGUGAGGCUUUUUAUUUUUUUUCCAACUAGCUAUAUAUGAAAAGGCAGAAAAAGCCCAAGAACUAAAAGUAAGUCUGUUCUUGGAAGAAACAGAAUGCACCUUUCUCACCUAACAGCAACUGCAAACAAAAUGGUCACUAUCUCAGGAAACAGAUAAUUUCUCAUCAAGUUAAAGGAGUUCAACCUAAAAGAACACCAAGCAAACUAAGUUUUCCAGUUUCUUGGGUUCUUAUGAGUAUGAAGAUCUGAGAGAGAAAACUCAACAGAGCAGCUGUCAAAAAUGUUAUUGCCGGUUUGGUUAAGAUUGCAUUCAGCACACAAGUUAGCCAUUCUGUACAUUCCAGCCAAAAGUUUCUGGAUACCAUGUUGUCUUGGAGUGCAAUGGAGCCAUCUGAAGAGACAUUACUGGCUGCAGGAGGAUCCCUGGAGAGACUGACACAUGGAUUGCCCUCAAAUAUCUGCUGAAGCAGCAGGAGACAUUCUUGUAACAAGCAAGAAGAGACAGUGGUGUGGUGCAGCACUUCUUAACAAACAAGGUGGAAAAGAGGAAUCCCUCUCUGCUUCCAACAGAGGAAAGGGAAAUCUUGCUUCACUUCUGAAAAUACUUCUGGAAGCAAAUAAAAAUGCCAGCUCUAGUAAAAUCAUCUUUUACAGAGCUACAGCCUUGAGUCAGGUAAUGACAGUAUGGAGACAGGACUGCCAGCCUUUGUGCUGGAGCCAUUUUCUGCAGCCUGCCUGCCAGUCAGCAGAGCUCUCCCAGUGUUGCAGCUGCAAUGAAGGAAGGCAAGCACUGGCAGAGGUCAUGGUGCAGCCUGGCUGGGCCGUGUGCCUGUGUGGGUGGUGGGCCAGAGCCCCAGGACAAGGCACACCCCAGCUAUCCACUGGAGAUAGAGCAGAAGUGUUUCAAGGUGUACUUUGCCAAUGGCCUUUCAGAGCCGUGGCUCUUGGUCUCUGCAAUGUUCCCCUCACCAAGGCCCUCUCAGCCUCCAUGAGACUUCCAUUUGUUGAUCACUCUGGUGCUUAAAACCUGAAUCUUGACUACUCUAUAUCAGACUUGUCCAUUGUCCUCUCUAUUCAAGGCCUGCCCCACACAGUUAAACCCUGUGAUCCAACCUACACAUGCCUCAAGUUGUUCUCAGGCUCCCCACUCAACCUAAUAUCAAUCAAUCUUACUCAUAAUCUCCACUGGGGAAUUUUUACAAGGAUAAAGGAAUUAUUCUGCUCUUCAGACUGCAGUUAGACUUACUGGUGGGUGCAUGCAUGCUCAGUGUGUCCCAGGGGGUUCAAUUCCUCAGAUCAAAAAUGGGCAUCUGAUUAAAAUACAAGGCAGAUUUCUUCUGUACAGGAUGCUGAAGUUCCUUCCCAAUAAUGGACAAUGGAGGAAACAAUGGAACUGAGGGGGAAAGUCAUAUGUACUGAGAACCCAGUUUAAUCUGGGGGUCCUAUGCAGAUCUAUUGCUUUCUUAGUUUCAGGAUCUCCAUAGUGUUUCCAGGUCAUUAUGCCAGCCAGGGAAGUUCUCAAUGCCCAUCAGCAAGCAAUGCUGAAAGACCUGCACCUUACUUGUGCCCCAGGAAAGUCAGUGCUUUUGGUCUUACAAAUAAAGCAGGAGUAGAAGUCAGAUAGACUCGGACAGCAACUCGGAGAGCAUGUGUUGUCUUCCAGCCAGCUUUGGCCAGUCUUUGGUAGCAAUUGAACCAAACUAUCAAUUAAGUGUUUGUAUCAUUUCAUAAUGAAAUACCAUCACAUUCUAAGCAUCAAGUUAUUAUUUGCAUAAAAUGAUGUCACACUCUUUUUACAGUCACCUAAUUUCUCUUAUGUUAAGCAGUUUCCAGGCUGAUUCACCCAUAUGCCAAUUAUGCCACAGAGCAGACUCCUGUCCAGUGGUCUUUGUUUUGGUCUUUGAUACUGCUUUGGUCUAAAAUCUUCAUAGUAGUGGCUUCCUCCUGUAUGAUGUGAAAAAGCAGGCGUGCACAGUGUCACUGACUUCUGACCCCACAGAAAGCCCCACAAGAUCAGUGUUUAGUCUCAUGCAUUAAAUAAUGUCCACGAACCUAGGACAUGCCUCCAGUGGUGAUGAAGAAACUUGUGCCUGAGCUGGCAUGACUGAUAAGUGGAAGAAAUGUGCCUGAACAAACGAGUUCUGCCUUACACCACCCUCUGCCAGCCCCUGUCUAGCUCAUUUGCACAGCAGGGCUCUGUGCCAUGCCAGAGGCUGACGUGGCUCCCUGCGAGCUGGGGGAUCACUGCUGGGCUCCGUGUGGAGACAAUGCUAACGAGCUCUGACUCCCAGGGAGCAGUGGCAGCCAGGAGGAGGACAUGCAGAGGAGAGGAAAAGGCUGACUGCUGUCUCCUUUUUUCCAUUACAUUCUCAUUUUAUAUUCUUAUCAUCUUACUUAGGUAUAUUUUCAUUACUUAUAUUUAUGCUUUUCAUUACUAUUUUCUCUCAUUUCUCUUAUUAGAUUAUAAAAAUAUCUACUGAUAUUUAUUCCAAGAAUCUUGAAUGCAGGGGAAACCCUUGGUGCAGCUACUGAAGAAAGAUGCUAUAUAAAGAAUACUUCAGCAUAAUGCUGCCAUCACAUCUAUCAGGGAACAUAUCUCCCAUCUUUAAAUGCAAUGACUAAAAUCAAUAGGCAAGCAAAUAAUAUGAUGCACUUGGAACAGAAUUGGGCCAUUGCACUGAGGACGGAAAUAUUCCAUAGCUUUUUUGGAAGAGUGUCUGGCCAUAGAGUUGUGUGUGUAAGUUUAGGUGUAGAAAGUCAUAAACAACUUUUAACAAAACUUCUGACUCUGCAAAGCAAUUCUACUUUUAUAUAACAAGAAUGAAUUUUUAGCCAUAGAAGUCCUGCAGCACCAACAGAGUGAAAAUGGGCAAGAAAUACUCUUAUAGAUAGAAAAUCCAGCCAUAUACCAUUUUAACCAGGGAUUUUAAAAAAGCUUCUGCUCAGUAUAUGUGCAAAGUGGAUAGUUUUCCCCUCUUUUUUUUUUUUUUUUUUUUUUUUUUUUUUUUUUUUUUAUUCUUAUACAGAUGGUUUCAAGGCAGGGAUUUGGAAAAUAUCUGAAAACAAACCUCACAAGACAAAGAUUUACAAGUGCUUACAUCUAGAUUUCUGAUAGGGUAGCCAGACAUCAGGGAAGAAUUUUGCUUUCUUCUCAAAAAUAUUGGAGCUAUCAAGACGGAUUGGGCACAGAAGAUAGUGUAUGUAAGGGCAGUUGGAUGACUGAAAAUAGAAACUUUUAAGAAUAACACAGAGCCAUUUUGGAAGAGAAUUCUGUAUCUGGAGAGCACAGCAGACUGGCCAAACUAUAUCAAGGAUAUCCAGGAACCUGGUAAGCAGAUGUGAGGCAUGUGGGGAAAUGUGGUCCAAACAGCAAAAGAAGCUAUGAAAAACUGCAGCAUCCCUAGCAGGCCUUGGAGCACAGUAGGAAUGGGCCUUCUGAGAAAAUGCACCAAAAAGUUACAAUUUUGAGCUAGAAGAUUGUAGGUACUUGUACAUCUCUUUUAAAUGUGAAGUUAAAACACUGUCACAGCUGAGUGUAAAUUUAGCACGUAUUACUUUAUUUUUGAACUGCUUGCUAUGAAUUGAACUGUUUCCCAAUUGAGAGAUGGUAACUUAACCCAGGAAUGUGUUAGCUUGGAUGGUUGCAAUGACCUCAACAGAGUGUUGAGAGAGAGAGACCCUAUCUCUGCAAAAGGCAAAGAAAAAAUACAGCCAGCCCUUCCUGGGUAAAGAAAUAGAUGUACCAAGAGCCUGAACAACAUCCUGCUGCUGCACACAAUGUUGUCUGCAUAUUUUUACAUUCACAGCCCCACCACCACUGCCACUAGUGGUGGUGAGAGGAUGAGGAAGAUCAGUGCAUGUGAAAAGAUGAGAAUUCACUACAACCAAAACCCUGACUGCCUUCUAAGCAGGAGACUGUUGUAACUGGGGAUCUCCCCAGAACAAGCUGUAACCUUGAAAAAACUCAGGGCAUCGAAAAAGGAAAUUCUUGUUGAUACAAUACAGCAGUGGGCAAGCAUAUGCUUCCCUGAGACAUUAUUGCAACACUGGGUCAUUGACAUUGCUAUGAAGGAGAGUGAGAUCCACCUUCACUGAGAUAUGAUCAGCACUGCAUUGAGAAACUACAGCCAGCGGAAGGAUUGACUGCAAGACAGCCUCCUGGCACUGUCAGAAGAUAAACACUCAUUAAACUCCUACGGGGUAAAUCUAAGACCCUGUGCUACAGCACAGUGUGGAGCAACACCUCUCCAAGCCCCGAGGAAAAUAUCUUAGAUCCUACACACAGUUAAGAAAAGAGAAAGAGACAGACGAGUGUGUUAAAAUAUGUAUGAUGUUAAUGAAUUUCAGACUUCAAGGGUGUGUAACAGAAUGCUAAGCACAUAAAUUGGCUGUGGUAGUUGCAAUUAAUUUUGGUAUCUUAAAUAAAUGCAGUAAAUGGAACAUUA